ACGGCCAUAUCACGUUGAAACACCGGUUCGCGUACGAUCACCGAUGUUAAGCAACAUUGACCCAGGUCAGCAUCUAGAUUGGUGACAGCUUGGGAAUACCAGGGGCUGUAAG